rnacentral:rRNA from 1 species
AUUGAACGCUGGCGGCAGGCCUAACACAUGCAAGUCGAGCGGAUGAAGGGUGCUUGCUCCUGGAUUCAGCGGCGGACGGGUGAGUAAUGCCUAGGAAUCUGCCUGGUAGUGGGGGAUAACGUCCGGAAACGGGCGCUAAUACCGCAUACGUCCUGAGGGAGAAAGUGGGGGUUCUUCGGACCUCACGCUAUCAUAUGAGCCUAGGUCGGAUUAGCUAGUUGGUGGGGUAAAGGCCUACCAAGGCGACGAUCCGUAACUGGCCUGAGAGGAUGAUCAGUCACACUGGAACUGAGACACGGUCCAGACUCCUACGGGAGGCAGCAGUGGGGAAUAUUGGACAAAGGGCGAAAGCCUGAUCCAGCCAUGCCGCGUGUGUGAAGAAGGUCUUCGGAUUGUAAAGCACUUUAAGUUGGGAGGAAGGGCAGUAAGUUAAUACCUUGCUGUUUUGACGUUACCAACAGAAUAAGCACCGGCUAACUUCGUG